CUUCAGAACAUAAAUUAACAGUGCUCAAUCAAAAUUGACAACCAAUAUCCCUUGGUGACAAUCAAAGCUGACACCAGAGCCCUUGAGAAAGAAAAAAAAAAAAUCAUAUUUUUAAGUAAAUUGCAUCUCAAAACCAUAUCAGAACCAUACCUCCAGCAAUAUGAAGAGUCCUAUCCAAAAUCUCAGUAGCUAUAACUAACAACUUUCAAAUUACUCCCACAACUGCACGGACUGAAGUAGCAAAAACAGUAUACGCUAGAAAGAUUUAUACAGAAAAGUUUGCAAAAAUAUCAGAAAUCACUAGCCUAAACCAGAUAGAAAUCUUCUCUAUUUUGACAUUAAUUUCCUAACAGCAGAAAACCAAGGCAAGCACUUGGGUUUAAGCACCAUUGGGUUAUGUAACUCAAAAAAUUGAUGAGACACCGUUUUUUCUCCUCCACAAUCUCCAACACAGUUAAGCAUCUCUUGACUAAUCACUCCUCUAAUAUACAAAUCAUCUUUUGUAGCUAUCCUAAUUUGAAGCAUUCUCCAUACCAACAUAGAUAUCUUUGACGGGAUCGAUUUAUUCCAAACCCAUUUGCAUUCCUCUAAAUCAUUAAAUUCCACCAUUUCUAAAUCUCUCUUUAACUCUUCUCAAGAGUCGAGACCUUUUCCUUCUUCAUCAUUUAAGCUCCCUGUUCAAACUUAACACCCACCUACUCGCAAUUUAGACAUAAGAUUGAUGACCAAGUUUCCCUAUUUCAUAGCUGAAUCAAAAACAUUCAAGAUUUAUCUAACAAAAGCAAGUAGAUUGAUUCACUUUGUUAAUUCUGAACAAACACAUAGUGGAUCAGAACAUCGUUACAAGAGCAUAAUAGGUUAUGAUUCAAAACAUAUAAUUACAAAAAGAAAUCAAAAUGAACCAAACCUUAACAGAACAAGACCUAUGG
rnacentral:lncRNA from 1 species